rnacentral:tRNA from 1 species
GCCGAAGUGGUGGAACCGGUAGACACGCUGUCUUGAGGGGGCAGUGAGGGAAACCUCGUACGAGUUCGAGUCUCGUCUUCGGCACCA